AUGUGAUCGUCUCUCGCAUAUCAAUAAGCGGAGGAAAAGAAACUAACAGGGAUUCCCCUAGUAACGGCGAGUGAAGCGGGAAGAGCUCAAAUUUGAAAUCUUAAAGGGUUUCCCUUUACGAAUUGUAGUUUAAAGAAGUGUUUUCUGUUGAGGUUUUGGUAAAAGUUCUUUGGAAUAGGACAUCAUAGAGGGUGAGAAUCCCGUAUUUGACCUUUACUUUCAACUUUGUGAUACACUUUCAAAGAGUCGGAUUGUUUGGGAAUGCAGUCCAAAAUGGGUGGUAAAUUUCAUCUAAAGCUAAAUAUUGGCGAGAGACCGAUAGCGAACAAGUACCGUGAGGGAAAGAUGAAAAGAACUUUGAAAAGAGAGUUAAACAGUACGUGAAAUUGUCAAAAGGGAAGCGUUUGACACCAGUGUUGUUUUUCUGAAAAUCAAUUAAAGAACUGUUUAUGCUAAGCUGUUUAGACUUUAUCAGCUAUACUGUUUAGUUUUGAGCUUUUCUUUAAUGCACUUUUCAGUUAACAAGUCAACAUCAAUUUCUUUUGCCUGUAAAAAAGCUUGAGGAAGGUGGCUUGAGAUUCGUCUUAAGUGUUUAUAGCCUCUUGCCUAUGCAGUCGGAGAGAUUGAGGUCUGCAGCGUAGAUCCUUCGGGGCUAAAUGCAUUUGUGCUAAGUUAUAACAUUUUAUAGACAACUUGUUGACUAUGAUUUGUCUUGUAGCUUACUCGCUUAUGUUAUUUUACCUACGCUUAGGAUGUUGAUCUCUCACAGUCGAGC
rnacentral:rRNA from 1 species